rnacentral:rRNA from 1 species
AACGAACGCUGGCGGCAGGCCUAACACAUGCAAGUCGAGCGGACCUUUCGGGGUCAGCGGCGGACGGGUGAGUAACGCGUGGGAAUAUGCCCUUCUCUACGGAAUAGUCCUGGGAAACUGGGGGUAAUACCGUAUACGCCCUUUGGGGGAAAGAUUUAUCGGGGAAGGAUUAGCCCGCGUUGGAUUAGGUAGUUGGUGGGGUAAUGGCCUACCAAGCCGACGAUCCAUAGCUGGUUUGAGAGGAUGCUCAGCCACACUGGGACUGAGACACGGCCCAGACUCCUACGGGAGGCAGCAGUGGGGAAUCUUAGACAAGGGGGGCAACCCUGAGCUAGCCAUGCCGCGUGAGUGAUGAAGGCCUUAGGGUUGUAAAGCUCUUUCAGCUGGGAAGAUAAUGACGGUACCAGCAGAAGAAGCCCCGGCUAACUCCGUG